UACGGAGGGUGCAAACGUUGCUCGGAAUUAUUGGGCGUAAAGCGCACGUAGGCGGAUCGCUAAGUCGGGUGUGAAAUCCCUCAGCUUAACUGAGGAAGUGCAUUCGAAACUGACGAUCUUGAGUACGGAAGAGGGUCGCGGAAUUCCCGGUGUAGAGGUGAAAUUCGUAGAUAUCGGGAGGAACACCAGUGGCGAAGGCGGCGACCUGGGCCGAUACUGACGCUGAGGUGCGAAAGCGUGGGGAGCAAACAGG
rnacentral:rRNA from 1 species